GCCACGCCGCGUGAGUGAAGAAGGCUUUCUGGAUGGAAAGCUCUUUUUGAGGGAAGAAAAUGGCGGUACCUGUACAGGAUUGCCGGCCAUUACGAAGCCCGACCGGCUAGUAAUGUGCCAGCCGCCGCGGUAAU
rnacentral:rRNA from 1 species